GCGGCGUUCUUGGACUGACACUGACACUGAGGGUGCGAAAGCGUGGGUAGCAAACAGGAUUAGAUACCCUGGUAGUACACGCCGUAAACGAUGUCGACCAGCCGUUGGGUGCCUAGCGCACUUUGUGGCGAAGUUAACGCGAUAAGUCGACCGCCUGGGGAGUACGGCCGCAAGGUUAAAACUCAAAUGAAUUGACGGGGGCCCGCACAAGCGGUGGAGCAUGUGGUUUAAUUCGAUGCAACGCGAAGAACCUUACCUACUCUUGACAUCCUGCGAACUUGUGAGAGAUCACUUGGUGCCUUCGGGAACGCAGAGACAGGUGCUGCAUGGCUGUCGUCAGCUCGUGUUGUGAAAUGUUGGGUUAAGUCCCGUAACGAGCGCAACCCUUGUCCUUAUUUGCCAGCGCGUAAUGGCGGGAACUCUAAGGAGACUGCCGGUGACAAACCGGAGGAAGGUGGGGACGACGUCAAGUCAUCAUGGCCCUUACGAGUAGGGCUACACACGUGCUACAAUGGCCGGUACAAAGGGUUGCGAGCUCGCGAGAGUCAGCUAAUCCCGAAAAGCCGGUCUCAGUCCGGAUCGGAGUCUGCAACUCGACUCCGUGAAGUCGGAAUCGCUAGUAAUCGUGAAUCAGAAUGUCACGGUGAAUACGUUCCCGGGCCUUGUACACACCGCCCGUCACACCAUGGGAGUGGACUUC
rnacentral:rRNA from 1 species